CUGUGAGAGACGGAAUCUAAAACAAAACUCCAGAAAAUCACAUUGUAUGAUUUUUAAGUAAUAAUUGCAUCAAAUAAGUAUUUGAUACAUCAGAAAAGCAGAACUUAAUAUUUGGUACAGAAACCUUUGUUUGCAAUUACAGAGAUCAUACGUUUUCUGUAGUUCUUGACCAUACUCUUUUUUACACCUUUAUUUAAUCUUUAUUUAACUAGGCAAGUCAGUUAAGAACGCAUUCUUAUUUUCAAUGACGGCCUAGGAACGGUGGGUUAACUGCCUUGUUCAGGGGCAGAAAGACAGAUGUUUACCUUGUCAGCUCAGGGAUUCAAUCUUGCAACCUUACAGUUAACUAGUCCAACGCUCUAACCACCUGCUUCACGAGGAGCCCGCCUGUUACACGAAUGCAGUAAGCCACGAUGGCAGAGAAAAGCAGAGCACCAGUGUGGGACUAUUACAUGGAAUUGGCACCAGGGAAAGCAAGGUGUCUUAUUUGUGAUUAAAGAUGUAAGCAUGGGGUCAGCAACGGCUAAAUCAAAAAAUACCAGCAACCUGUGGAAUCACCUUAAGAACACCCAUCCAAAAGCCCAUAUGUAUUAUAUUAAGUUGAAAUAAAAGUGUUCAUUGUUCAUUCAG